AUUGAACGCUGGCGGCAGGCCUAACACAUGCAAGUCGAGCGAGCGGCGGACGGGUGAGUAAUGUAUGGGGACUGCCCGAUAGAGGGGGAUAACUACUGGCAACGGUGGCUAAUACCGCAUACUAUCGGAUAACCCAUAUGGGAUGGGCUAGUAGGUGGGGUAAUGGCUCACCUAGGAGACAAUCUCUAGCUGGUCUGAGAUGAUGAUCAGCAACACGGGGACUGAGACAACGCCCAGACUCCUACGGAGUCAGCAGUGGGGAAUAUUGCACAAGGGGCGCAAGCCUGUUGCAGCCAUGCCGCGUAUAUGAAGAAGGCCUUAGGGUUGUGAAGGACUUUCAGCGGGGAGGCGUUACCCGCAGAAUAAGCACCGGCUAACUCCGUGCCAGCAGCCGCGGUAAUUC
rnacentral:rRNA from 1 species